rnacentral:rRNA from 1 species
AUAGCCUUUAGCUAAAACAAGUAUUAAAGGUAUCGCCUGCCCAGUGAAAUUUUUUAACGGCCGCGGUAUUCUAACCGUGCAAAGGUAGCGUAAUCACUUGUCUCCUAAAUAGAGACCAGUAUGAACGGCUAAAUGAGGACAAACCUGUCUCUUAUAACUAAUCAGUGAAACUGAUCUCCCAGUACAAAAGCUGGGAUCAACACAUAAGACGAGAAGACCCCGUGGAGCUUAAAACAAACCACCAACUUUAAUCCUGGUGCACUGUUUUGAGUUGGGGCGACUUCGGAACACAACAAAACUUCCGAGCACAGAACCACCAAUUUCUAACUAAGGCCAACAAGCCUAAGUAUUAACAAGACCCGGCCCACGCCGACCAACGAACCAAGUUACCCCGGGGAUAACAGCGCUAUCUUCUUCAAGAGUCCCUAUCAACAAGAAGGUUUACGACCUCCGAUGUUGGGAUCAGGGAACACCCAAAUGGGUGGCAGCCGCUAUUAAAAGGGUUCGUUUGUUCAACGGAUUAACAGGUCCUA